GACAUGGGAACAUCUGCCUUUUGUAGACAAUUCAGGCAGUGUCAUGUUGUUUUCUGAAUUGGAUGUGUCAGUUCCAAUUGUUACCCGUGUGCGUGUCAAGGGUACUUGUUAGUUGUUGAUAGUUUACAAGUAAUUAUCGCCGAAUAUUGAGGAUUAGCUGAGUACAAGAACUUGGAAAACAAAAGUAUUGAAGUUGUGAAAUAGGUAGGUACGUCUUCACUACCUUUCUACGUGCCUCCCAGGCGUAGGCAGAAGACAGGCAGUUUUUCCCUAGGAUUACCCUGUCACGUUUUUCUGUUUAGAGGUGUCUGUUGCCUAAUCCAUUUCAAAAUUUUAGGUGUCUGGUUGUCA
ensembl:ncRNA ZK381.50 ncRNA